AUCAGCAGGUUGCGGUGAAUACGUUCUCGCUCCUUGUACACACUGCCCGUCAAGCCAGCAAAGUCAGCAGCGCCCGAAGCGGGUGACCGUAACCAGUUUACUGGAGCGGCCCUUCUACGGUGAGGUUGGCGAUGAGGACUAAGUCGUAACAAGGUAUCCGUACUGGAAGGUGCGGAUGGAUCACCUCCUUUCUAAGGAG
rnacentral:rRNA from 1 species